GGCCAUGCCAAGCGUGCCGUGCCUUACACGACCCAUUUUAAGGGGGCCAUGUACGGCCCAUUUCAAAGGGGUCGGUCUGGCAUGCGGGUAGUACGUGCCAUGCCUGGCCCAUGGGUCGCGCUGGCCCAGGCCUUUAUGGGUCAUGCCGGGCCUGGGCCGCGGGCCAAAAAAUCCCAGCCCAGCCUGGCCCCCCUCUUAUGGGCCGUGCCAGGCACGGCAUCGCACUUUAGUCAAUGGGCCAUCCCUG
rnacentral:lncRNA from 1 species